AUACGGAGGGUGCGAGCGUUAAUCGGAAUUACUGGGCGUAAAGCGCGCGUAGGCGGUUGGGUAAGUCGGAUGUGAAAGCCCCGGGCUUAACCUGGGAAUUGCAUUCGAUACUGCCCGGCUAGAGUAUGGUAGAGGGAAGCGGAAUUCCGGGUGUAGCGGUGAAAUGCGUAGAUAUCCGGAGGAACACCAGUGGCGAAGGCGGCUUCCUGGACCAAUACUGACGCUGAGGUGCGAAAGCGUGGGGAGCAAACAGGAUUAGAAACCCUAGUAGUCC
rnacentral:rRNA from 1 species